AUUCCUCUAUUCAGCAUUGGCUCCUGUGGCAUGGCACCCCAAUGUGGUGGCUUUUCUUCCACUGAUUCACCUCCCGUAGCCUGCACUGCCUCCACAGACCGUUCCUGUGAGAGCAGAGAGACAGUGAUGCGCGCCAGUCAAAGUCGUCCUCACUGCAACUGCACUGCAAAUAUGAUCCGUCUGCUCCUUCCCCUCUUGGCCUUUCUGCCAUGUCUGGACGCCAUCACUUUGACCUCCUCCCCCGCUCAGGCUAAGUCACCUGGAGGGUCCGUGAAGGUGUCCUGUCAGGUUUCUGGGUACGCCUUGACAGAUUACGGCACGAGCUGGAUUCGGAAGCGUCCGGGGAAAGCCAUGGAGUGGAUGGGAAUCAUCUGGGGAGGCGGAAGCAUCGACUCUCCCGCGCCGUUCAAGAGCCGGUUCACCAUCUCCAGAGACAGCAGCAACGUGCUGUACUUGGAUAUCAGCAGCCUGCAGACUGAGGACACAGCCGUGUAUUACUGCGCUCGACUCAAACAGUGAAGCAGGGCGGUGCCGCGUCUGUGCAUAAACCCACAGGCUGCCUCAGAGACAAACGGCCUCGUGCUCCCCUCCAGAUCAGUGAGAGAAUCCUAAUGCUGGGCCAGCUGCAUUUUAUUAAGACUCCUGAAGGGGUACAGGUACAGCAUCGUUGCUACAUAAAAAGGCGAUAGAAAUAUUUAUAUACUGUGAUUCACACAAAUCCAUAAUCUCCAGUUUUUAUCUCUCUCCCUUCCCCACAUUCUUUCCUAUGGUACAGAGCCACAGACACAUAUUCAGCUUGUAUUUUUACAUUUUCACUUGAGUCUUCCCUGUAGUUUUUUUUUUUUUUUUUUUGCUUUAUUCAGAAUUUAGAUUUUUGUUUCUUUUAUGUCUCGUUUUAUUGCAAAUAAAUGUGUUUCAAAAUUGAA